rnacentral:rRNA from 1 species
AUUCCAGCUCCAAUAGCGUAUAUUAAAGUUGUUGCAGUUAAAACGCUCGUAGUCGGAUUUCGGGGCGGGCCGACCGGUCUGCCGAUGGGUAUGCACUGGCCGGCGCGUCCUUCCACCCGGAGACCGCGCCUACUCUUAACUGAGCGGGCGCGGGAGACGGGUCUUUUACUUUGAAAAAAUCAGAGUGUUUCAAGCAGGCAGUCGCUCUUGCAUGGAUUAGCAUGGGAUAAUGAAAUAGGACUUUGGUUCAUUUUAUUGGUUAUUGAACCUUAGUAAUGAUUAACAGGGACAGUUGGGGGCAUUAGUAUUUAAUUGUCAGAGGUGAAAUUCUUGGAUUUAUUAAAGACUAACUUAUGCGAAAGCAUUUGCCAAGGAUGUUUUCAUCA